rnacentral:rRNA from 1 species
UACGGGGGGGGCAAGCGUUGUUCAGAAUUACUGGGCGUAAAGGGCUCGUAGGUGGCCAACUAAGUCAGACGUGAAAUCCCUCGGCUUAACCGGGGAACUGCGUCUGAUACUGGACGGCUUGAGUUUGGGAGAGGGACGCGGAAUUCCAGGUGUAGCGGUGAAAUGCGUAGAUAUCUGGAGGAACACCGGUGGCGAAGGCGGCAUCCUGGACCGGUAUUGACGCUGAGGCGCGAAAGCCAGGGGAGCAAACGGG